rnacentral:pre_miRNA from 1 species
UAAGUACUCCGUCCGGAAAUAUUUGUCGGAGGAAUAGACGUAUCUAGACGUAUUUUAGUUUUAGAUACAUCUAUUUUUAUACAUUUUUUCAUAAGUAUUUCGGAACGGAGGAAGUACGAC